rnacentral:rRNA from 1 species
UCUGGUGACGAUUGCGAAGAGGUCACACCCGUUCCCAUCCCGAACACGGAAGUUAAGCUCUUCAG